CUGGAGGAGAAAUCCAAUGGAUGGUCAUUUCUUGGUUCCUGGUUCCCUGCAGCGUCAUCAGUUUGUAUCGCGUUAGUUCCCACUAUGUUCAAUGAGGCUUAUUUGAGCCUGAAUUAGUCCCGUCCCCCCCGUCCCCACUUAAGCACACUUCCUAAGCAGAAAGGUCUAGCCAGUGCGACUUACUUGUGGGUAAUUUCAGGAUCAACCUAUUAAUCGCAUAUUUUGUGGGGAGUUGUUAUCAGUCUCUUACCGUUCCAAUACGGGAGCUUUCUAAUUCCUGGUUCCUAGAUACUCUUUUUAAUGUGGGGGAAAUGGAAAGAGGCUGCGAGGAAGCUUCUUGGGGUUUACACUGCAGGAUCGCCCAGGCGUUUUCGUUCGUGCUCUCUUUCAAGGGAGCGGUCGCUACUACCUGGUCCCUCGGCUCUUAAACGGGAGUGAUCUGGAAACAAAGCGUCUUUGCUCCUUCACAUGAGGAUUGAUCCAAGCAUGGCGAGGUCCCGAUGGACAGAUGCGCCGCUUGUUUCUUCUCUAUGAUCGCAUGAGCAUAAAACAAAAUAAAUCGGAAUAGCCCAGUGCAAAUCACCUGCCGGUGUCAUGGCUUGAUUUUAGCGACGGAAGGGAUCCAAUCUUCAAUAAGAUGUGGCUUGUUUUAUCACUUGUCAUUGUUCCUGUAGGUAAAAUACGGUCAAGGACGCCACAACAAAUGCCUUCCUUAGUUCAUAAAACCGUCUGUAAUAUUAUUACAUAUAAAAAUAAAAAAAUAAAAAUUAAGUUUGUUCUGGUAUUGUAUAAGCUUUCAUGUGCAUGCACACUUCUUCAGAUACAUGCACACGAAAGCUUAUACCAGAACAAACUUAAUUGGUCUAUAAGGUGCUACUGGACUUCCCCCCCCCCCCGACUGCAUCAUCAGACCAACACGGCUACCUACCUGAAACCUAGAAUUAUUACAUAUAGCUACUGUAAUUACAUCCCAAACAACAAACCGGCCCAGAUGUUCUUGGAUCAGGUUCGUGGUUUUAAUGGGGACUGAAUUCAGCUCAGAUCCAAGUAGGAUCCCAUUGAUUCCCCUAGAUUGUGGACUGUGCAGGAGAUCCACAACGCAGUUUAUCUGGCUGGACCCGAAAGCCGGUGGGUGUUGAAGCAUCUAUUAGGCUUUAGUAAUCAUGUGCACGGUAACCUGGAAACGAGGCUUACUUCUGAGUAAACGUACAAAGGAUUAGGCUGGAAUCCAGCCAGAUGGGCGGGGUAUAUAUAAUAAAUUAUUACUAUAAAUUAUUAUAAUCCCUAUCCGCCUGUGCAUGUUAACACGGAAGUAAGUCGCACUGGGCUGAAUGGGACUUGAUAAAAAAUAAGCCUACAUAGGAUUCUUAGCCUUCCCGGUGUUUCGGAUCCGGUUUGAACAGCUGCAAGGCACAAGACAUAUAUUCUUUAUGUUUUUAUGCUUGAUGUUUUAUUAUGUUUUUAUAUGUGCUGGAAGCUGUCCAGAGUGGCCGGGGCAACCCCCAGCCAGAUGGGCAGGAUAUAAACAGUAAAAUUAUCAUUAUUUUUAUUAUUAUCAGUAAGUUUCCUUAGAAGUUGCUGUUAUAAAAUGUGCAAGGCAAUCCCACUAAUUAAAGGGGAAUCCUUGACUUUUAGUAUAAGGCAGUUAGGUUUUGUGGUGACACAACACUUGCCGCGCAAAUCUAUAGGUCAUAGAUGGCUCAUCAAAAGUAAGCCCCAUUAAGUUCUACGAAGCAAGAGGACUGGCGCCUUAUUUGCAAGCAAGUUCCAGGGGGAAUUUUGGAAAAUAACAAAAAGGGUUUUGUACUCAGGCAGAGGAGCCGGUGGGUGCUUCAGACAACUAUUUGCCCACUCCCAUUAGCGGGUCCCUGGGGUGAGGCUGAGGCUGCCUCUGCAAUGCCUCUCUCUUCCUCCUGAGAAUGUGUUUUGACAGUCCUCACCACACUCUCGAAUUCUGGAGAGUUUCUUCCCAUCACAACUGACCCACCCUCUUCGCCUGCAGCCUCGCGGGAUUCAGGAGGACUUCGGCUUAAAGACGCCCGUGGUGCAAACAAACAAACAAACAAACAAACAGCCUUGGCAAAGGCUCCAACUAAACCGGGUGAGACAGGGGGAGGGGAGCGGGCUCCGGCCUUCCUGGCCUCUGAUGAAUGGAAGUGGCUUUUUCUUUCCAGACUCCCCACAGCCUUUGAUAGGUCUCUCUUCUUUUCUUUUAAGCGCUUGUUUUUAAUUGUGACCCUGGGCUGGUCCACGAAGUCUCCUGUUGGGAGUUGUUAGCGGUGGCUGCCUUAGUUGGGCAGGACCUCCCAAGUGGCUCCGGCCGGCGUGCCAGAGAAAGGGAGACUCUGCUCAUCGUCCAGUCGCGCUCCCAUCAAAGUCCCCGGGACCGAGGAGCCUGCAGGGCGUGCUCGGAGGCGGCGGCGAGGAGACCAGUAAACAAUCGCCAGGCCCGCUCCCGUCACUCCCUCCCCAAGCCACAACACAGCGAGCGCGCUCUCACACAUACACAGAAACCAGCUCGUCUGAGGGAUCACCCAUUUCCAGAGAGAUCUAAAAUCUUAUAUCGUUUCUCCCACCACCUCUGUAACUUUUUGAGGAUACAGAGUGGUUUAGAUUUCCGACCGGUUUGACAAGGUGACUAUAAUUUAUCGUGUGCGCGAAGUAAAAAGUUGUUGUGGUUGUCCUUGUUGUUGUUAGCCGAUACGCUUCUUUUUCAUAUAGGAAGGGGAUUGUAGUGGGUGUAGGAGCCAACAGUAUCCUAGGGACCGAGGUCCCUUCCCCCCAUAAAAUAUUUGAGGAGGCUACCGCCCCCCCCAAAAAAAUGUUGAUUGGCAUUGCCAUUCAAAGGUGCGCAUGUAUCAUCCAUUAUUCGAAACGGGGCUUACCUGCCCCCCGAUAUUUCAUUCAAAUUAGCAUCCCUGAUAGUGGUGAUUACCAAAUUGGCGGUGGGGAAUCUUAAGUGCCCAUCAUUCCCCAAAAUUGAUUAGGGUUGCUCAGACGCAACUUUCAUUCUGUUCAAUGGAACCUACCGUACUCCAAAAAAAUGUGCGUAGGAUUACCAAACAUAGUUCUGAGGAAACAUCUAUAUGCUGUGAGACUGCAAUCCUGCGUGCACAGUUUUCUCCUAUUUCUGUACUUAAGGGAAAGCGCUUUGGAAAGCACUUGGACUUACUUCUGAGUAAGCAUUCCUGGCACUGAGACCAAAUAGCCUUUAAAAUGAAAGCAGAUCUAGAUAGAUACAGUAGAGACUUCACAAGGAUUGGCUUGCUUGAAAGUGUUGUGCAAAUUGAAGUACUGUAGUAAUAAUAAACAGUAUCCGAUAUUACAGAUUCGGCAGGUUGAGAUCCAAAAUUCGUUUACUUGCAAGUAAGGCCCUGUGAAAUCACCUAGGACUCCCAGCUCAAUCAAAAUGCAUGGCAUUUAGCCCAGGAGCCGGCGAUGGUUAUUCAGGUUAGUUCCAAUAUCCUUCCAAUGGAAAGAUUGUAUAAAUCAUCCUUUAGCUGUGCUUAAGCUGUUUAGUUACUCUGGAGCCGCCUUGGGUUUUUCCAAUCAACCGAGGCUGGGACAGGGUAAAUUUUGCUGCCUUAGGUUUUGAUGGGUACCCAACAGAAUAGAGUGGAUUUAUGAAUGAAAAGUUUUGUUCUUGUCCUGUACACAGAUCUGCUAUACCUCCUAGAUUUCGUUGGCCCCACCCUUCACCAUCCCAACCCCCCAUACAAGUGUUUGUGUGUAUACAACGCACCUUGCAUAUUACCAGGUGAGGUGGGUUCUAGUCCACGAAAGUUCAUCCUACAAUAAAUCCGUUGGCCUUUAAGUGGGCACAAGCUACUCCUUGCUAUUCGGGAUGACUUCAGAUGGACUGACUCCGAGGUUGUGUGCCAGAGAAAGAUUUUCAUAAAAAAAACCCGGUCCUGCCAAGUUCAAAGGGAUUUUCUCCCAAGUACCCCCAUUGUAGCCAAAUCGAAUGGAUUUCAGUUGAAAAAAAGGUGGCCCACCAUUUAAUGGUGCUCACAUGCCGAUUGUUUCCUUUUUAAAAAAACCAAAACACCCUUUUCUUCCAAGUGAAGGUCAAUUUAUUUAAAUUUAAAUUACUUAUAAGCAAGCAGGUUACUAUUUGUAGCAACUACAAAGUCAGCUUCGGUUCUGGUCAUCUACUAUUCAGAUUGCCCCUUCCUCAGAACUGCACUUAAAGACUGAGAAAAUUUUAAUGUGAAGUGGUUGAUUAAUCUAUUGAUCAGUUAAAGACGUGGUAGCUAGUGGAGCAAAUCCCUAUAACAGGUCAAUUGAUACAAAUAUACUAACCUGGCCUCUUAAAGCUGCCCUCAAAUUCAUCCCUAGUUUUGUUUGAAAUGGGUGUUCCCUUAGCUUGCUUUAAAAAAGAGAGAGAGGAAAUGAAUCACUAAAAACUUUUCACUGAUUAUAAUAGGCCUAACCAGAGCCCAAAUCAAGGUUGGGGGUCUUUGGGACUGUCAUGCGACAAUACCAAGUUCCUCAUUUGAGUUAAAACGAAAUUUCCACUAGAAACGCAAGUGCAAUUUUUAAAGUCACUAAGGCUGAGACAAACAGACUGACUUGAAAGUAGUUCCCGGGGGGGGGGCACCUCCAAGUAAAUGCACUAAAGGUAAUCAAUUCUAUUCCAUCUGAAAUACAGAAUCUGGAAUAAAUUCUACAAUGGGCUUUGUAGAAUUAAGGAGAGCAAAGUAUGGAGGUCUGAAUAGCAGUACAAACAUCUGACCGCCAAUUUUCUCUUAGUAAACAACUGAUCCACAGUCCUGUUAAGCCGAAGGACAAGGAUUCAUGCCCGUUCCCACCCCCCAGCCACAUGCUGAAGUAAACUGAACUAGCAUUGCACCUCACAAAUUUGGGAACGAAUCCCAUUGUUUAGAAAGGUUUUGCAAGUGGAUCCUAAGGAAACUUCCUUGGAAACUUCUUGCUCUGAAUAAUCAGUGGGACUGAUACAACAGCUCCGUCCAGAAAACCACUAUUAUUGGUUAGGAUUGCAAUGUCAUUUUUCAAGAGACGUGUGCAAAAUUCAGCUGUUACUUGGAAGUCUGCUAGAAUGCAGGCACUUCGGUUUAAGUGUACUGGGCUUCUAUUUUUGGUUGCUGUACUUGGUCUGUAGCAAUGCCCAAGAAAAUAAAAAGAGCAACCACCGAGUCAAGGACUGAAUUUUCUUUUUUUCGAAACCAGAAAUUGCAGCUGUUCCUUGAGACGAACUUCUAGGUUUGCCUGUUUGGGGACUCGUUGCAAUCGUUUCCCAGCCAGGUCCUCUCCUUCUCCUCGUCUAGGCUAGUUAGGGAAUUACUGGCUCAGUCUUAAUGCUGGAAUCAAAGCGCCACCACCCUGGCGCUCGAGCGAGUCUGUAAAUCACAACUAUGCGAACAAGGAACAAAGAGGGUGGAGUUAGGGGAGUGCGGUAAAUUGCAUGUAACGGCGACGGCUGCUAUUAAGGCGUUUUGUAAUCGUUUACACCUGAGAAUUGGUUUACUCCGCCGGCGAUUUGAAACAUUAAAUGCGUCGUUAUUCUAUAUCAUGACUGUAUACAGACAAAUCGAGUAGCCUUAUGGGCAAUUUCGAUGGUUUUGAGUGCCCAUAAAAUGCAAUGUAGUUCAAGGGGCUGCGCAUUUACAGACCUCCCUUCCCAACUACCCCCACUCUCCUUCCGCCUCUCCUGGAAGUACUCUUGAAAGCAUUUCCACUGAAGUUAGGAAUGUCAGAAACUUGUGAAAUAUGAAGAACUUGUAUGGGAAACGCUCACGAUGCAGAGGCAAGGUCUGAAAAGAGGCGUCUGCUAGGGCUACCGGAGUUAUUCUCCUUCAGGAUGGCCUCUUGUCCGUUUCGUAACUGCGAUCCCUAAUCACUCAACUCAGGGAAAAACUCAGUUUCCCAAUAGCAAUGUCAUUCAGAAGCUUCUUCAUUUUCCCUCUCCCUCCCAGGCACAAUCACAGCAUGGGACCCAACACAAGGGUAAUGAUUCAGGCCAAUUCCAAAUGCGUUUGCUUGAAAUCAAGUUUCACUUCGUUCAGCGGCUUUGCUUUCAAAGAAGCAUGCAUAGGAUCGCAGCUUUUCAAAGCACUGCUUUCAAGUUCAGGAAAGUGAGGCCGCCUCAGUCAACAGACAAACCCGAGGACUGGAAUUAAACUUCACCGGAUGCUGCCAGCGCCAAAUAUUUCAGUAAUCAACAACCAGAGAAGGAUCAAUAUGUCUUUUCUGCCCGAGGCAGGAAAUCCGAAUGCUACCCCGCGCUAAGACUAUAAUAUUAACUUAAAUAAGAGUUAAUUAUUUAACUGCCUAAUGGUAAAGUCAGCAGGCAAAAGCCAACAACAGGAUCCUUACAACUAUGUCCCAACACCGCGGCAAUCUAACUCAAGAAGAAGGUAGAAACCGCGGUCACAUUGUGGCUCCUCCUGGGCACUUAAUCUGUGUGAAGCACCCAGGCCAUGAGGUGAGCUGUGCAUAUUCUUCUGCUAUAUCAUAGCUGCCAAGUUUUUCCUUUUCUCACGAGGAAGCCUAUUCAGCAUAAGGGAAUUUCCCUGAAAAAAAGGGGUAACUUGGCAGCUAUGGGUAUAUAUCUGAGGAGUUGUGCUGCAGCCUGUUUAACGGUGUGUGGAAGUUAUUGCUUAAAACAAAACACGUUUUAAAAUAAGUUGCAGCUCAUGUUCCCCCCCCCAAACAUCCCCAUUGUUUUCUGUUAACCUAACACAUGCCAGUGUUAGGUUAACAGAACUGAGACUCCCAAGUAGGCAGGAUAACACCACUUUAAAAUAGUCCUGCAGUCCACCCUUGCCCAUCCCUAUUGCAUUACUGCAGAUCUAUUGCAGUACUAUAACCUGAUCUUCCGUGGACUACAUUGGAGCAGAUGACGUCUUCUUUUAAGAUAUCACAGCAUGGCUUGCUACUCGCGGCUGGCUCAUAACACCGUCGUUUGGAGGAUCCUCCGGCUCUUCCUUCGAAGGCUUUGCCCAGUCCAGGAUGCUGGAGACUUUUAUGUUUUGCCAUCUUGGUUUUAAAAGCCGUGUAGAAUACCUGCUCCUGGCUCCCAUAAACCUGAAAUGUAAUAAUGGAGAAGAAAUCCACCUUUUCGUGGUUAACGUGUUGUAAACUUAACUGGGCCGCUCCGGGUGAUCUUAACUGUGUGCAGAGCACCUGAAGCACCGGUGUGGAUCCAAUGAGAUUUCUUGCUUCCCAGUAACUUGGGGGUUGCAGCCAGCAGCAGAGAGAUGAAUCCUCUAGCUCUGGUUCUCUAGGCGGGGGCUUUAUUCUCACCGGAUGUGGGGGAUGCUGGAAAGACUCUGGACAAAAAAAGAUCCCACGUAUUUGAAACCGUUCAUUCAGGACAAAGCCUUUUCCAUUCAAUGCCAAUCCCCUUUUGCCCUCUAGUUCAGUAAAUCGAUGGGAGUUUUUGUUUCUUGGCUUGUUUUUUAAUAAAAUAGCUGGCAGCUGGUUGAAAAAAAAAAAAAGUUAGUUAUUUAUGUUCGUUCCAGCUUGUUGAAGGAAACGAUAAUGCCCAAUUCGAAAACACACAUCCUGGGAAACAGGACGCAAUAAUUCUGAUAUUAUAUUCUAGACCGAGCUGCCAUGGAGACGAUUGUUUCUCAUGAAUUGUUUUUUUUAAAAAAGAGGUAGUUGGGAUCCCGAUUCAAUCUUUCUGUUUUUGUGCUUAUAUCUAUGAGUUAUACUCUUUCGCUAAAUCCUGUUUGAGAUUCAAUGUAAAAGCCACUUGCCUUCAUUUGGAAUUUUAAAACCAGGCAUUUCGGGCACUCGGGAUUUAUGAUGAAUGAUGGCCUAUGUAUGGCUUAGGCAUUCAUCCCUGUUUUGUGGUGUGGUCUAAGUUGUUUCUCAAGCUCACCACUAUCAGCGACCGCUAAAGCACAGCCUAUGGAACCUAAUUACUGUCGUAACCAUUUAAAAUAUUCAGUGCUGUCCUCAUUGACUAUAUAACAUCCCCCCAUUCUCUUUUCUUCUAAUUCUUCGUGUUUUUUGCCCCUGUGUCUAGUUAAGAUUCUGAAAUGUCUGAACCAUAGCUGCCAAGUUUUCCCUUUUCUCGCGAGGAAGCCUAUUCAGCAUAAGGGAAAAUCCCUUUAAAAAAGGGAUAACUUGGCAGCUAUGGUCUGAAUACACAACACAGAUCUUCUGCAUAGGUGCUGGAGCCCUGUUAGUCUGGGGUUUUAGAAGUCCUGUCACAUCCUGUUUUCAGUGGGAAGACCUCAUACAAAGGAAUUGUCAGGUAUGUAGAAGGGAAGAAGUAUUCAACGGCAGACAUACUACCAUUAUAAAAUGAUUUUUAAAAUAAAAUUUACACCACCCUUUAAUAAAAAAUAGACGUUUUAUGUAGCACGCUGAAAGAUGAAGGAUAGGUAUUCUUAAUAAAAUUAAUAAUUAGAUUUCUUACCUCCCCCAGGUAAGAAGGAGGAAUUCCAAUGAUUUAAAAAUACAUUAUUAUAAACAGUUAAAACAGGCUAUACUCAAGAGAAUUGUGUGUGUCCUAAAAUAAAUCUCUCAGGUGUUAAAGGCCAGGGUUUGUUGUGUGUUGAAAUGAAUGCAGAAGAAUGAUAAGAAUUAUUUAUUUUAAAAGAAAAUUUAAAAAGUAGAUAAAAGUAUGAAUAAAAUAACAUUGAGAAAGGAUUGAAAGAAUGAGGGCGAACUCCCUCCUCCCCUAAAUGUAAAUAAAUAAUCAUAUCCAUAAAAUUCACUCUUGGCGUGAGACUUGAUAUGUUAAUGUUCUGCCCAGAGCAAAUUUUUAUGUGUUACAAAACUCUUCAAAGGAAGCAUUUUAUAAUGGAGACACUGACAGUUUCCAAAGAGUGCCUCCGUAAUAGUCCACGGAUUUUAGUUAUAUCGCUGGCGCCUAGACACGCCCCCCCCAAUUGUAAGUAAGAUAAAUGAUUGACUGGUCCAUCAGCUAAACCAGACUGCCAUAUUCAAGAAGUAUGCCAUUAUAAACCCGAAGACAGGGAUGCAGUGAUCCUCAAGGCGUUUGCUCAUAAAUAAAUGGGGCUCCUUCAAGACUUUAAAGAUUCCAGUCAAGCCUAGGAAAUAGCUUUCUUGUUAUCAAUAGCAACAUAUCAAAGAUGCUGUAGGGUUGCAGUCCAUUUCUGAAUAGGAUUACUCUGAAGAAACCGCCAGAAAAGCCAAGGGAGUACGUUCCCAGGAAGGCUGUUUCGGACUAUGGCCUUACACUUCUUCUUUGGCGAUCCCUCGUAGCCGAGUACAAGAUUGUCUUCCAUAAACACGUCCGUAAGUGACUGUGGAGGCCAAUUCUGGAUCCACACGUCCUUCCACAGUGGGGACAUUGGUUUCCGGGUGGAAGUUGAUCACGGUGUGGAUUUCCCAAGCGUGCCUUCCUCUUAGCGAGUUUCUCCCUUGGGUCCUGAGUUCGAGUGUCUUCAGAGCCCAUGUCUUUGGUAAAGACUUUUCUCCAACUGGAGUGCUCGCAGGCCAGUGUUUCCCAGUUGUCAGUGUUUAUACUACAUUAAUAAUGCCAGCAACACAUCCCUCUGUGCUCAGAUGUAACUCCCAUUGAGUUCAAUGGGGCUUACUUCCAGACAAGUAAAUGGCUAUACAAUUGCAGCCUAAAUUGCAUUUUCUGAGCUUCUCGUUUCUUUGUUGUUCCCUUCUCAAUACGACAUAGAAGCAUGCAUUUUUUUAAAAAAAUGUGACCGCUGUUAAGGCCCCAGUCCUCCACAUGUUCACUUUAUGGACACUCUGAGACUUACUUCCGAGCAGGCAUGCAUAGGAUUGCACUUAAAAUAUAAUGCAACAACUCAGAAUCAGGACCAGCCAAGGCCCAUUCGGCAACCCUGUUAAACUGCUGCCCACACAUAGGAUUGGCAUCAUGUGGGCAUGAUUUCCUUCAUUUCAGUUGGAUGUAGCUCCAAAGAAGGCGCUUUAGGCUUGCCUGCUACUCCAGCCAUUGGCUUCGGUCGGUGGGUUUAAAGUUCUGGCUGCGCAAUUGCAACUUAGGGGGGUUGUGUGUGGAUUUUCAGCAGGACCGAGAAUCCUAUUCAAUCCAAGGAAUGCAGCUGAGAUGAAUUGGAUCGACUAUGCGCAGGACGGAGCGUCCCCUGAUCCGCAGAAAGCAAGAGAGAGAGACGCAAAAUAAAAAUGCAAAAAGGCUGGGUAUUCGGUUAAAAACAACAACAGUACCGAACAGGAUAAGUAUGAGAAUACUGUAGCUACCUUUCGCAAAACUCUGCCUCAUUCUCUGUUUUUAAGAUGCCACAAGAUCCCCUCGGUCCCUUGCAACAGUCAAAUACAGCUGUCCUGCGGAAGACUCUCAGUUUGUCUGUUACACAAAACUGGGGGGUGGCUUACCCAUUCCUGUAAUACUGGAAAAUGAGCACUUGGUGGCAGUUUCAGCUUGAAAAGACUAGGACCUGGAAGACAAGGGUUCAAAUCCCUGCUUGACCAUGAAGCCCACUGGGUGACCUUCAACCGGACCUACCUCACAGGGUUGUCGUGGGGAUUACAUGAGGAGUGGGAAGAUCCAUGCACACUACCUUGAGAUCCUUGGAGAAAAAGGCAGCAUAGCUCAAGGCCGUAAACACACCAUUAAGGUUUUGUUCAGAGGCAAGAGAAGGAAAGAACUUUAAACAGACUUCUCCGUUCCAACGUUUCCAUUAAGUGACUAUUGAAGAGGCACUCGGGAAAAGUUGUCAGAUCCAUUUUGUUCACGAUCCGGUAGGAAUAAACAUCAAAAUAUGUACAUGUACCACAUAUUUUCAGGGUGUGGUGUUCUGAAAAGAGAGGGAGAGGUGUUUUGAUUAAAUUCACAGCCUAUGUAACAGAGCCCGAUAGCAAUAGAUAUCUUAGGGAUAUAGUUCUGCUCAGUUCUAUUUUUAAAAACGUACAGAAACUACUAUAGCCAUUUAACUUUAUUUCCACAAGCAGCAAUUUGAAAGGGCUGUAGUCAAAGGCAAAGUCACCAUAGGGAUAGUCUAUGUCUCUCCAUGUUCAACCUUUCAACCCCCAUCCCCACCUUUAACUUGUACUGUAGCAAUAUAAGGGGAAAACAUGGUUACAAGGCUUGGAUUGUCACCCCCAAUCUCUGCUGAGCUGUGGCAAGAUUUCAGCCAGUUCCAGGUGCUCACCAAGGGUCUGUGUUCCUUUGAGAAUCAAUAUGUGGUGGAGGCUGUCAUAGCUUUAAGAAAUAUGAUUUAUUCAUAAAUUGACACCUGAAUUUAGAUGGAAGAAGUCCAGAUCUUACAGCAUGGCCAUCUCAAGUGAGGCUUCUCCCCCACAGCAGUACAGUACUGGAGACCUGACCUCAUUGGUUCCCAUCCCAAUACCAUGGAAGCCGCUGCAGUUCUAACCCCAGUAAUGUUCAGGGGUGCCAACGUGAGUAAAAUAUGAGGGGGGGGGAGUGCCAGGUAAUCCUCACCCCACAUAAUUGAUCACAAGACACAGCACACACACACACACACGCCCCAUUUGAAUGGCAAUGCCCAUCAGCUUGGGUGGGCAGCCUCCUCAAAUAUUUUAGGGGGGGGGGCGGUGAAAGGACCUUGGCCCCUAGGAGUUGGCUUCUAUACUAAUGUUGACACUUCAACAAGGGUGGAGGUGAAAAGGAAUUCAAUCAGAACAGGCUGGGGGUGGACAGAGGGAAGGCUCCACACCCUGCUCCUGGACCAUUGCAAUGGCACAAAAUCAUAGCAAUGUUUGUACAACAAGAUUGCUGCACCAGUACAGCAACAAGCAGGUCCCAUCCUGUGGUGAGUUUUGGGAUCAGUCUCCAGCUGCAGCCCAACAAACCCAAAGGAAUUGAGUAUACAGUAUAACCAAGGUGGUCUAUCUCCAUUUAAAUCAGGGGCCAGCAGGAGCAAAAGCAAAAUGGAAGAUCACUCUACAGUAGAGGAGAUACUGCAGGUAAAUAGUAAUCAGUUGUUUGAAAACUUUGAGUGCAGCUUUUGCCAACCUGGUGGCCUGCAGAUGUUUUGGAUUGCAACUCCUACCAAUCUCAGACAGAAGGGCUGUGAUGGCUGGUGCUGAUGGAUGUUGUAGUCCAAAACACCUGGAGGCCAUCAGGUUGGAGUAGGUUGUCCUAAUAUCCUCUGAUGAACCUGAUCCUAGAGAUCGGCUUAAUACACAAGUAGCAACACACCUUGCCAAGCACAGUUCUACUCCUGGAGAGAGAUUUGGAAUUAGCUGCCCCAAUUGGCAGCUUUUACCUCUGUCCCUACAGUCUGUGGCAGGGUUGGGGAAUCUGUGGCUCACUGAAAGAUACUGGACUCCAACUCCCAUCUUCCCUGACCUUUGGCCAUGCUGACUGAGGCUGAUGAGGGUUGCAUAGCAACAACAUCUGGAGGGCCCACAGCAGCUGGUGCAACAGCUGGUAGCUGGAGGGGGGGGGGGACUUUCCCAGCCAGAUGGUUGCAUUCGAUUCUUGCCAGCUUUCUGAAGGUCACACUUGUACCUUUGUUUUCCAGGUUGUUUUCUAAACACACCUCUCACCGUUGUCCAUCCAGGCAAGCAAGAAGCAUGGUCAGAGUUCAAGGGCACAUUCCAGCUAGGCAAAUAAAUAUUCAAGGACAAUGUGAAGCAGGGGUGAUGAAUGGUGUGGCACAGGUAGAGGGGCAUGGCUGAGAAAAGACUCCAAAUAACAGAUACAGUGGUACCUCGGGUUACAAACACCUCGGGUUACAAACACUUCAGGUUACAAACUCCGCUAACCCAGAAGUGGUACCUCGGGUUAAGAACUUUGCUGCAGGAUGAGAACAGAAAUUGUGCAGCAGCGGCACGGUGGCAAUGGGAGGCCCCAUUAGCUAAAGUGGUACCUAUGGAUAAGAACAGUUUCAGGUUAAGAACAGACCUCCGGAACUAAUUAAAUUCAUAACCCGAGGUAGCAAUGUACUGUUUUCAUUCAUUUGAAUGAUUUCUUACCUGCCCUUUGCCACAGGGUGGGUUACAACAAACUUAUCGUGAAUUUUUUAAAAAAAGCUCAUUCAAUUGGAAAGAUAAGUAAAACAAUUCCAAUAUAGGUUAAACAAAAGAGAAGAGGUGGGUCCCCCCCCAAAAAAAAUUCUGUCAAGAUAGAGAGACCUGGAGCGCCUCUAGGAUGCCACUCAGUGGGGUGAGAGAGGCACCAGUCUUCAUUCAUGCAUGGAUCAGAAGCACAAGACAACCAGGGUCAGUGUCAAUUCUUUCUUUCUUUCUUUCUUUCUUUCUUUCUUUCUUUCUUUCUUUCUUUCUUUCUUUCUUUCUUUCUUUCUUUCUUUCUUUCUUUCUUUCUUUUUCUCUCUCUCUCUCUCUCUCUCUCCCCCCCCCUCUCUCUUUCUUAUAUAUGAGAACUUAUAUAUGAGAACAUUUUAAAUACACCAACUAAGUCAACUUAGAGAUGAGCUUGCUCCUCCAUAGUUAUAAUUGAUCCCUGCUGCUGGAUCCUAAGGAUUGCUAAACUCUUAGAGGAUGGAGCUAUUCCUCCGGGCUGGGAGACUAAAUAGAUGCUGAAAAGCAGCAUUUCGCUAAUAUGAACAUGUUGUAGUCAGAAUGAAGUAUUUUUCAAACAACACAUAUUUCUCUUUUAAAUCAGGGCUUGUGGAGAGCAAAAGGACAUUCCAAGGGACCUGGUGAAUUUUAAUAAAAAUGUCACGUUUUGUUUAUUUGUUUGAAUAUUCAGCAGGGGUGGGGGGUGGGGGCAGAAUAAACCACAUUACAGUAUUUUUCCAAUACAAAUGUCAUGUUCUGAAUGCCCUUACACUCAAUUUAUAAACUGGCAAAGGGAAUAUGUCAAUAAUAAAAAAUUAUCUUGACUGCAUCUUGGUAGGGAAGCGGUGAGAUCCAGAUCCAGAAUGUUUUGGUGUCAGUGCCCAAAACUUUUGAAAUGAUUAAAAUUAUAAGCCAAUAUUUUUAAUUUUAUUAAAAUUCUAUUCAUAUUACUCAGCUGUAUGUUUCAUUCAACAUAUCAUUCCAUAUGCAUUUAUUUAUUUAUUGCAGAACCAGCUGUAGCAUGCACAAUGCAGCUGAUAUAUGGAUUUAAUAAAUAAAAAAGCCAAGGAAAACAUUUAGAUGCUGGCACAGUGCUCCAUGCAUGUAUGAGGUUCCUACAUGAAUGGGCGUCUCCUCCUCUGGGGUUCAGUAGAAAGGAUGGGUUCAUAAACAGGCACCCUUUUGCUGUCUCUUCCACUUAGCAAACUCUUUGCUUCCACUAAGUGGAAAACACUUGCUCCUAAAGAAAAUCCACACACAGAGAAACGUCUUGAUCAAACGGAUCUCCCUUUCUGCAGGCACACCAGAAUCACUUAGCCAGAGAUGAUCUCUUAGGUGCUGUCUACAUACCCCAGCCAAUCAUGGGAGUUGCUUUUCUACCCAACAGCGUCGCUGCCAUACUUAAAAGCCUGUAACCACAUGGGCAGGGCCUAGGGUCAGGAUCUUUCCUUCAGAAUAGGCACGACCCACCACUAUCACCACCAAGAGGAAAGACUCACAUGAUAGACCUCAUUCACAUAUUUGCACACUUUAAAAAGUGACAGCUGCCCUGCUGUCAUGGAGAAGUUGGAGAAGUUGAUUCCAGGAUGGGGCUAUGACAAGCAUCCCCAAACUUGGCCCUCCAAAAUGUUUUGGGACUACAACUCCCAUCAUCCCUA